UCUUACUGGGGUUCUCUGGAUUUCCUGAAUUUGAAUGUUGGCCUGUCUUGCUAUGUUGGGGAAAUUAUCCUGCAUGAUAUCCUGUAGUAUGUUUUCCAACUUGGUCCCAUUCUACCCAUCUCUUUCAAGUACCCCACUCAGUCAUAGGUUCAGUCUUUUACAUAAUCCCACAUUUCUCGGAGGUUUUGUUUGAUCCUUUGCAUUCUUUUUUCUCUAGCCUUGUCUGCCUGUCUUAUUUCAGCAAGAUAGUCUUUAAGCUCUUAGAUUCUUUUCUCCACUUGGUCUAUUCAGCUAUUGACAUUUGUGAUUGCAUUGUGAAGUUCUCAAGUUGUAUUUUUCAGCUCCAUCAGGUAAUUUAUGUUCCUCUCUAAACUGGUUAUUCUUGUUAUUAGUAUCUGUAAUGUCUUAUCAUGGUUCUUAGCUUCUUUACACUGGGUUAGGGCAUGUUCCUUUAGCUCAGCGAAGUUCAUUAUUACCCACCUUCUAAAGCAUACUUGUAUGAAAUCGUCCAUCUCAGCCUCAGCCCAGUUCUGUUCCCGUGCUGGAGAGAUGUUUCAAUCCUUUGGAGGAGAAGAGGAACUAUGGCUUUUUGAGUUCUCAGCAUUUUUGCAUUGAUUCUUUCUUAUUUUUGUGGGUUUAUAUACCUUCAAACUUUGAGGCUGCUUACCUUUGGAUGGGAUAUUUUUGUGGGUCAUUUUGUUGAUGUUGGUGUUGUUGCUUUCUAUUUCAUUGUUUUUCUUUUAGCAGUCAGGCCUCUCUUCUGUAGCACCGCUGAAGUUUGCUGGGAGUCAACUCCAGACCCUAUUUGCCUGAGUCCCUUCUUAACAUGGAGGUAUCACCAGUGGAGGCUACAGAACAGCAAAGAUGGCAGCCUGCUUCUUCCUCUGGGAGCUCUGUCCCAGAGGCACACUGACCUAAUACCGGCCAGAACACUCCUGUAUGAGCCAAUGAAUCUCAACUGAGCAAACUGCGGAGCUUUGUGUCACUCUAAAUAUCUGUUGAGGGCUCUCGAUCUGCUGGAUCAAUCACAGUCUCGGCCCUCGGUAUCAAACUCCUCACCACACAUAGGAAAACUCGAGUCAGAGGGCAAGAGAGCCACCCCAAGCUCCAUUACAGAGCCUGUUUUCAACUGGUACAAAAAUCUCCCAUUUGUUCUUCUUGUUCAGAGCCUGUGGUUUAUUUUCUCUUGUCGGGACACUGUUCCAUGAACCCCAGGAGAGAUGCGUCAUCACAGAAACCUUGGCAUUUGUCAAACAAUGAGCAGCGUGAGGUGAUGGAGCCAGGCACCCAGCAGGGACCCAGUAGAGGCUGCACGAGCUGGCUGGCAGGUGGCCCUGAUGACUUUGGGAGUGGGGAAUCUGCAUUGACUGCCUGUUCAUCUCCUGUCUGAGGAUGAAGUGGGAGGACUCUUCAACGAAAAAGCAUGGCUAACUCCAAAGUCACAUUUUCCAAAGCAGCCUUGCCAUUCACUUACAUUUACCUGCUUUGGCUUAUAGAAAAAAACAAGGCUUCAUCUUUGAUCCUAUGUUCCUCAAUGCAUUGUAGUUUUUGAGUCUUAUCUGAACUGACGUCUAGACUGACACAUUUUGGGGAAGAGCAUCCCUAACAUGCUGACAGAUGGCUGGCACACCUGUUUACCUGAGUCUUGGUUCAAAAAACAAUACAGCAUUUUGCUCGUUCAAGAUUUCCGUGUAAAAAUUUACACAUUUUCUAGAGACUAUGCAGAAAAUCAAAACUCCUAUAAAUGUAAAGUGGCAUAAUUUGAAAACAAUGUAUUCAUAUUGAUUGAUUAAAUUAUAUAGACUA